rnacentral:misc_RNA from 1 species
UCAUUGACAUGCUCUGCAUGGCCGGCUCCCUGCGCUUCGGCGCGGCCAACGGUCAUGGGGCUGUCUCUUCACCGUCCCUCUGGUCAGCUCGUUUGAUGGCCGGGGAUGACUUUUAACGGUUGCCUGUGUGGUUCUACCCUUGCGGAUGCGGGUAGCAGAAUCGUCCCGUCUCGAUAUUAUAGCCUGCCGAGCCGAUGCUAUGCCAUCGGCGAGGCGGCCGAGUGCUGGCGAACUCCUCGUGCUGCCACGGCGCAUGCGCCUUGGUAAUGCAUCGGGACGUUCGCCGGGUCUCACGGAUGCCGUGCCUGUCGUAAGCUCUGUGGGCUUCGCUGUCCGCAGACGCUGCGAGGUUGCCCCUGCACCCGUAGUUGCUCCGUCUCUUCGCGGCGAUGCUAAUCGGGUACUUGCAUGCAAGUCCGAGUGCUGCGACCGGGCGACGAAGUCGUCGCUCGGGCGCUCCACGGCGAUGUGCUGCUGGUCCACGAGCGGCGUCGGAGCGUUGGGACCGGG